UUUCCGUAGGUGAACCUGCGGAAGGAUCAUUAAAGUGUAAGGGUCCUCUAGGCCCGACCUCCCAACCCUUUGUUUACCAAACCAAUGUUGCUUCGGCGGGCCCGUCUUAGGACCGCCGGAGGACCGUCGAAACGUCCUCUGGCCCGCGCCCGUCGAUGGCCCUUAUUAUUGAACUCUGAACCAAACGUGUCCUGUCUGAGUGAUUAUUAUCAAAAUUAAAGCAAAAACUUUCAACAACGGAUCUCUUGGUUCUG
rnacentral:misc_RNA from 1 species